rnacentral:rRNA from 1 species
CGUAGGCAGCAAGCGUUGUUCGGAGUUACUGGGCGUAAAGGGUGUGUAGGCGGUUGUUUAAGUUUGGUGUGAAAUCUCCCGGCUCAACUGGGAGGGUGCGCCGAAUACUGAAUGACUCGAGUACGGGAGAGGAAAGUGGAAUUCCUGGUGUAGCGGUGAAAUGCGUAGAUAUCAGGAGGAACACCGGUGGUGUAGACGGCUUUCUGGACCGUAACUGACGCUGAGACACGAAAGCGUGGGUAGCAAACAGGAUUAGAUACCCUGGUAGUCCACGCCCUAAACGAUGCAUAUUUGGUGUGGGCAGUUCAUUCUGUCCGUGCCGGAGCUAACGCGUUAAAUAUGCCGCCUGGGGAGUACAGUCGCAAGGCUG